ensembl:lncRNA
CACUUUAUUAUUGAAUUAAAUCAAGAAACGCUGUUUUUAUUCACUCUCUCUGCUUCUCCAGCUGUUGGAGAUGAUGAGGUGAAGAAGUCGGACGGCAAACAGGUGGAAGGGAUAUUUGGGCUUGGAAAGAAGGAUAAAGACAAAGGAAAGCGCAAAGACAAGAGUCAUGAUAAGGAUAAACACAAAGAACACAAAGAUAAAGAACAUAAGCACAAAGAUAAGGAACAUAAAGGCAAAGACAAGAAGAAGAAGAAGGACAAGGAACACAAGAAGAAGAGCGGUGGCAAGUCCUCGUCUUCCUCCAGCGAUUCGGUAAUUAUUAUGACUUUUUUAAAAAUGCAAUCUGAAGGUAUCAAGGUUUGGAUCAGGAGUGUGUCAUUUUUAUUUAUUAGCAUCAUGUCUGGGCUGAGGACAGACUGUGAUCAUUAAUGAAGGCAGCAGGGUUGGGCUUCAGAAACGCUGUGAUAGUGGCGUCUCGUAAAACCGCUUGACCUCCAGGUGUGGUCCAUCUGAGACAUGAUUCUUCAGGGGCUCCUGGAAACUUAAGCUGUGAUUCAUUCCCGUCCCACACAGCAAACCAGCAGCUAGACGUCACUUAUCACACAGAUAUCACACAUUUGGAGACACACCUGCUGAGGAAUUUCCAAGAAAAUUUUAUUUAGACACAGAGGGAUAGGAUCUCUGUGGAAACACACUCAACAAUACACUUGAGCUCUGUUUUAAGCAAAACAAUAACCUGUUUAAUGAGUAUAGAUAAGGACAGUGAGGGGAAAGCCACUGUAACACACCCACUUCUAUAUGCUAAAUAAUUCAAAGAGAUUAUUAUUUUUAUUUAUUAAAGAUGAUUCAUUUUUUUUAAAUACAAUUAUUUUUUAGAAUAUACUACAUUUUAUUUAUAUAUGUACUGUAUAUUUUAAUAAAUAAUAUUAUGAAAAAAAAACUAAAAUGCGUUUAUAUAUAAUUUAUAUGUAUAAAUUAUUUUAUUUUUAUUUAAAGCAAUAACUCUUCAAAAAUGUGAAUUGUUUUUUUUAAUACAUUUAAAUUUAUCAUAUAUUAUUUUAUUUAUCCUUAAAUCAGUUACGCUACAAAAAUAUUAAAUUUGUCUCUUUUUUUAUUGAAUUACAUUUUAUUAUAUAUUAAUUUAUCAUUAAAGCAAUAACUCCUGAAAAUUUUCAAUUUCUCUUUUAAUCUUUUUCAUUUUAUUUAUUUGAGUUUUAUUUUAUUAACUUUUUUUAUUUAAUGUACAGUUUUGUCAUCAUUUACUCACCCUCAUGUCAAGAAAAAAAUCAACCGUUUGGAAUAAAAGAUAUACAUUUCUGAAGGUUUUUUAUUAAUACUAUUAUUAUAUAUAUUUUUUUUUUAUUAUUAUUAAAUAAUAUCCAAAAACAAUGUAUUUCAGCAGAGCUUGUAUAAUAAGGGUUUAGGUUUAGUAGGAUUCUUGUAAGAAUCUAAAGGUUAAUAUUUGUCUUUCUCGCUCUUUUUUUUUUUUUUUUUUUUUUUUUUUUUUUUUGUAGGACUGAAGCAAGACUGAAGGUCCAUCAGAUACCUCCGGAACCAUAAUGUAAUAAAAUUAUUAUAUGAUUUUUAUAAAUGCAAUCAAUCUCCAGAAGUUUUCAUUAAGUUAUUGAGCUGUAAUUUCAAACUUCCACAAGGUGGCGCUACUUACAUGUCAAAUCUCCAAUGAAACACUUCUAAAGAGCACUAUCAGCUAUUUUUGUAAAACUGUUUGCUGGUUUAAUAAAUUCUGAUGUUUGAAAUAUAUAUAUAUAUAUAUAGUCUCAUAUUAACUUUCGGUGGUUGCUGGUUAGAGAACUAUUAGUGCUUUUAUAAAUCUUGGCCGGUUUGAUGCACAAAUACAAGCCAUAUUUGAAUAAAUGUAUGUGUUUAGCAAUCAUUCAUCAAGCAUUCAACACAAAUUAAUUGAUAUAUAUUGUCAGAACCAUGCAUUAUCUAGUAAAUUAGGUUAAUUCUCCAUGAUUUUCACCAUGACCAAUCAACUCUUAGUAGUAUCUUUUUCUAAACAGCACGCUUAUGCAAAUGCAUGGUUGAUUUUGAAGGUUUCAGCACAGAUCUGUCUUGUUUGAGCACGAUUUGUUUGCUAAUUCAUCUAUGUUUGAGCACGGCACAGAUAAUUAAUCUGAAUCGCAGGCUGCUUCCAAACACUGUUUUGGAUGUUUAUUGCUGAGCUGAAGACAACUGCAAGCCAGAGAUAAGAGAAGAGGGCGAUAUUUCUCUCUGUCCAUCAGACUGUGACAGUCUUUCUCUCUUAUUCUGUGCCAAAUGCACCAUGGUGCAAUUAUUUUUCAUCCACCCCCCGUCAAUCUUUCACAUGCAUAUUUCAUCAAAAGCACUGAAGAUGCUGAAAGGAGGAAUUUGGCUUGUUUCGUCCGUUUGUGAUGUUUGGUGCGGUCGGGUCAGAGAUCUGAACAUCAGCAGAAACCUCUGCACGUUUCCCACAGAAGAGGGAUGUACAUGCAAAUAAGUUUGAUUUAGUGAGGAGUGUGUGAGGAGUCAUUAUUAUAUUGCAAGUUAUGGGUGUAUUUUGAGAACAGUGUAAAAUAAAUAAGUAAUGUACUAUAACAGUAGGAAAAUAGAAGAGUAAAUAAUAAAAGGAAAGCAAUUCUUUUUUGUAAAAAUGUAGUCAUUAUGUUUACGUUAUUUAUUAUUUUAUUUUUUGAACUUUAUUUGCAGUAUUUUUUCUAUGUAUUUAUUUGUUCAUACAUUUUUUUUUACACCUAUUAGACUUUUUUUUUCAUAUUUUCUUCAUUUUUAAAUCUAUUUGCAAUGAAAUUACUUUGUUUUAUUUACAUUUUUAUAUUUUUUAUAUCACAAUUUAUUGUUAUAUUUAUUAAUUUCCUGAAAUUUACAUAUUUAUUUUAAUUAAAUUUAGUCAUUUAUUUUAUUACUUAUUUCCUUUAUUAUUUUCUAUAUUUACUUUUAAUUUAUUUCAGUUUUUAACUUUUCUGUUCUUUUAUUUGUACAUAAUUGUACCCUUAUAGUUUAUUUCCACAUGUAAUUAAAUCAAGAUUAAUUUAUACAUUUGGUUUUUUUAUAAAAAAAAAAUAGAAAUGCUAUUUUAACAUAGAUAGUAACAGUAUGUGUGUUUGGAUUGUUCUGGAUAACAGACAGGUGUUUUAUUGAGUCUAUCUCUAAACAGGUUUAUUGAUCAGUUAGUUUAUUGAAUGUGUAACUAUCUAAUUAGGAGUGUAAUGACUGUACAAUACUGAAAACUAUAAUAUAAUGCAUCUACAGGAAAAUUAAGAACAUUUUAUUAUUUUUACUUAUUCUCACAAAUAUAGUAUAACUUGUUUGUAUGGUGUACAAAAUAAAUAUGAUAUACGAUAUAAUAUAAACGCGUAAACCUCUUGAAAGGACACUUUAAAAACUGCCUCAUUACAAAAACUGGUUUAUAAAUGAGCCAAAUAAUGCCACAAUUAAAAUGUUAAAAUCUUUGUUUAAAAAUAUAAAUCCGUUUAUCUAAAAACACUAAAAGUCAUUCAAUAGAUGGAAACAAUUUUCUUCUUUUCCCGUCUGUUCACUUUCGUGUCAUUCCUGCGCGCACCUGACGCGCGGUCACACCGGGGCGCGGCGCCGCAGUGCGUGAGCGCGUGCGCGCGCGCUGUCACCUUUUCGCGCCAGAGGAGGGCACAGUUACCUCGCGCGUGGACUGGCGUCAGCGGUCUCCAGGCAACAGGCCAUCCGUAAGUCAGUCAGGUUUCUCAGUCGGAGCGGAGAGAGGCGGCAGCGGCGUCGGUCAUGGCCCUCUCACGGAUCCGGUGCUCGUUUGUAUGGUUCACCGUAAACGGCGUGUGAACACACCUCUGUAUUGUGCUGAAGAACUGAACCGGACGCGUUCACGCGGAUCCCGACGCGAACGAGUACUCUGAGGGGAUUUUACGCGCCGAUUUAAUUUCACUAGUUUUUUAGUUUUACAUGUAACAUUAAUCGUUGAAAUAUAUAUAAAAAAUGCUUUUGAUUUUAUUAAUGUGUUUGAUUUUAAGAGACAAUUACUUUUCCACCCCCAAACUACUGGAGAAAAUCUGACUGACUUUGAACUUCAUAACGC